rnacentral:RNase_P_RNA from 1 species
CAGGUGGACGCGGGAAGAAAUUUCUGAGGAAAGUCCGAGCAUCACAGAGCAGGAUAGCUGUUAACGGCAGCCGAGGGCGACCUUAGGGCAAGUGCAACAGAGAUAUACCGCCUGUUUUACAGGUAAGGGUGGAAAGGCGAGGUAAGAGCUCACCGGGGCAGCAGAGAUGCCGCCGCCAUGUAAACCCUAUCCGAUGCAACGCCGAUUGGUUCGGAGAAUAAUGCGUCUGCUCGGCGCACUUCGAUUAAGGCGGCUACAUUGCGAAAGCAAGACAAGUCUGUCGGCGACGGCAGAAUUAGAUAGAUGUUCACCCAACGACAAAACUCGGCUUAUCGAUUUAGUU